rnacentral:rRNA from 1 species
CUUAGUGGCGGGACUGGUGAGUAACGCGUGAGGAACCUGCCUUCCAGAGGGGGACAACAGUUGGAAACGACUGCUAAUACCGCAUAACGUGCAGCCGGGGCAUCCCGGGGCACCAAAGAUUUAUCGCUGGAAGAUGGCCUCGCGUCUGAUUAGCUAGUUGGUGGGGUAACGGCCCACCAAGGCGACGAUCAGUAGCCGGACUGAGAGGUUGGCCGGCCACAUUGGGACUGAGAUACGGCCCAGACUCCUACGGGAGGCAGCAG